GUGGAUGGGGACUUACACCGAACCGUUCGAUUUCUUCAAAAAAGAAAUGUUAAUGUUGUUAUUCGCGAUGAGCGUGACCUUAAUACUAUUCGCAUUCAUGAGGCAAAGGCAAAGGAAAAAGACAAAGCAAUAUUAAAGGAAA